GGGGAUGCGCCAUGGUUGGCUCCGGGAAUUCAGACCUCUCGGGUGCGGGUUCGAUUCCCGUCAUCUCCA
rnacentral:tRNA from 2 species